rnacentral:rRNA from 1 species
UACGGAGGGUGCAAGCGUUGUUCGGAAUCACUGGGCGUAAAGCGCGUGUAGGCGGCCUUCUUAGUCUGGUGUGAAAGCCCGGGGCUCAACCUCGGAAGAGCAUUGGAUACUGGAAGGCUGGAGUACCGGAGAGGAGGGUGGAAUUCCUGGUGUAGCGGUGAAAUGCGUAGAUAUCAGGAGGAACACCGGUGGCGAAGGCGGCCCUCUGGACGGAUACUGACGCUGAGACGCGACAGCGUGGGGAGCAAACAGGAUUAGAUACCCUGGUAGUCCACGCCGUAAACGAUGGGUACUAGGUGUUCGGGGUAUUGACCCCCUGAGUGCCGCAGCUAACGCAUUAAGUACCCCGCCUGGGGACUACGGCCGCAAGGCUAAA